rnacentral:lncRNA from 1 species
GCGGAGCCCGGCUCCCGUAGGAGUCCGGGCGGAGUCUGCUUGCGGCUGAAGUUGUUGGCGUCGAGGAUGAAGCCCGGCUCCCAUAAGAGUCCGGGCGGAGUCUUCCUGCAAUCAAAGUUGAAGGCGAAGUCUGGCUCCCGUAGGAGUCCGGACGGGGCUUACCAGCAGUUGAUGCUGAGGACGGAGCCCGGCUCCCGUAGGAGUCCGGGCGAAGCUGUCCU